CAUUGGUUCUUUCGCAAUGAAUAACUGUGAACUCCGCCAGGCCUGGAAGGGAGCAACGGUAGCAGCGACUUUGUGUGCCGAAAUGUAGCUAAUGUGG
rnacentral:SRP_RNA from 1 species